rnacentral:rRNA from 2 species
GGAUCGACGGGUCGGUCGCGCCUCUGGUGUGUACUGGCCCUGUCGGUUUCUCCCUUCUGACGAACCACGAUGUCAUUAAUUUGAUGUCGUGGGAAAUCAGGACUGUUACUUUGAAAAAAUUAGAGUGUUUAAAGCAGGCAUUCGCUUGAAUACAUUAGCAUGGAAUAAUGAAAUAGGACGUUUGAUCUUAUUUUGUUGGUUUCUAAGAUCGACGUAAUGAUUAAUAGGGAUAGUUG